UGAUGUGUAGGAUAGGUGGGAGGCUUUGAAGCGUGGACGCCAGUCUGCGUGGAGCCAACCUUGAAAUACCACCCUUUAAUGUUUGAUGUUCUAACGUUGGCCCCUGACCGGGGUUGCGGACAGUGUCUGGUGGGUAGUUUGACUGGGGCGGUCUCCUCCCAAAGCGUAACGGAGGAGCACGAAGGUUAGCUAAUCCUGGUCGGACAUCAGGAGGUUAGUGCAAUGGCAUAAGCUAGCUUGACUGCGAGCGUGACGGCGCGAGCAGGUGCGAAAGCAGGUCAUAGUGAUCCGGUGGUUCUGAAUGGAAGGGCCAUCGCUCAACGGAUAAAAGGUACUCCGGGGAUAACAGGCUGAUACCGCCCAAGAGUUCAUAUCGACGGCGGUGUUUGGCACCUCGAUGUCGGCUCAUCACAUCCUGGGGCUGAAGUAGGUCCCAAGGGUAUGGCUGUUCGCCAUUUAAAGUGGUACGCGAGCUGGGUUUAGAACGUCGUGAGACAGUUCGGUCCCUAUCUGCCGUGGGCGCUGGAGAAUUGAGGGGGGCUGCUCCUAGUACGAGAGGACCGGAGUGGACGCAUCACUGGUGUUCGGGUUGUCAUGCCAAUGGCACUGCCCGGUAGCUAAAUGCGGAAGAGAUAAGUGCUGAAAGCAUCUAAGCACGAAACUUGCCCCGAGAUGAGUUCUCCCUGAGACUU
rnacentral:rRNA from 1 species